UACUUUAUAAGAUAUCUUAUUAAUUCAAUAAGAUAUAUUAUACACUUAAGAAGAUAUAUUAUAAACGAAAUGAAAAAAAAAAAAACGAACAAUAACAAUAUAAUAUGCCCCCUUUGAAAGGGAUAACAAAGAACGUCCUAUAGCAGAUGCACGACUAUUAAACAAGAGGGGAUCCUAAGACCGACCCGGGGAUCCUAUAAACCGCCCAGGGUAUCGUAUAGAACACCCUGUUAUAGAUACAUGAACAACGAACAGGGGAUCCUAUAGACCGCCCUGGGGAUCCUAUAAAAACGCCCUAUAGCAGAUACACGAAUAUUGCACAACAGGUGAUCCUAUAGACCCAACAGGGGAUCCCAUAGAACGCUCCCUAGUAGAUACAUGAUUACUUAAACAACGGGAUCCUAUAGAACACCCUAUAGCAGAUACACAAUUAUUAAACCACAGGGAAUCCUAUAGACCGCCCAGGGGAUCCUGUAGAACGCCC
rnacentral:lncRNA from 1 species